rnacentral:lncRNA from 1 species
ACACACACACACACACACAUGUUUUAGAAUCUAGCUCAUAUAGUAAUACAGGAUUCAGGGUCCUUAUUAAAACAAAGAACCUUAAAACUUUAAAAAAUGUACUGAGUUUUGUUAAACUACCAACAAAAUAUUACCACAUGCAGAUCUUUUAAAGUAAGUUUAAUAUCCUAUUUUACUAUAACUCUUAAUAUUUUGACUUAUUGAAUGUUAUGUCCAUGAUAUGAACCAUCAAUGCUAUUUUGAUUGUAAAGAUGUACUCAAAAGCAAAGAAAUUAUUUGAUAAUAAAGUUUAAAUAAGAAUG